AUGAGAAUGUUGAGUGUUCUGUACCUGUUGUCAGCCCUUCCUGGUAUCCUGUCUGAUGUGCAGCUUCAGGAGUCAGGACCUAGCCUGGUGAGACCUUCUCAGACACUCUCCCUUACCUGCACUGUUACUGGCUUCUCCAUCAACAGUGAUUGUUACUGGAUCUGGAUCCGGCAGUUUCCAGGAAACAAACUGGAGUACAUCGGGUACACAUUCUACAGUGGUAUCACUUACUACAACCCAUCUCUUGAAAGUCGAACGUACAUAACGCGUGACACAUCUAAGAACCAGUUCUCACUGAAGUUGAGUUCUGUGACUACUGAGGACACAGCCACUUACUACUGUGCGAGAGA